AACGAACGCUGGCGGCAUGCCUAACACAUGCAAGUCGAACGAGACCUUCGGGUCUAGUGGCGCACGGGUGCGUAACGCGUGGGAACCUGCCCUUCGGUUCGGAAUAACUCCCCGAAAGGGGUGCUAAUACCGGAUAAUGUCUUCGGACCAAAGAUUUAUCGCCUUUGGAUGGGCCCGCGUUGGAUUAGCUAGUUGGUAGGGUAAAAGCCUACCAAGGCGACGAUCCAUAGCUGGUCUGAGAGGAUGAUCAGCCACACUGGGACUGAGACACGGCCCAGACUCCUACGGGAGGCAGCAGUGGGGAAUAUUGGAAAAUGGGCGAAAGCCUGAUCCAGCAAUGCCGCGUGAGUGAUGAAGGCCGUAGGGUUGUAAAGCUCUUUUACCCGGGAUGAUAAUGACAGUACCGGGAGAAUAAGCUCCGGCUAACUCCGUG
rnacentral:rRNA from 1 species